UACGUAGGCAGCGAGCGUUGUUCGGAAUUACUGGGCGUAAAGAGUGUGUAGGCGGUGUUCCCAGUCUGUUGUGAAAUCUCCCGGCUUAACUGGGGGGGUGCAGCGGAAACUAGAAUGCUAGAGGGUGGGAGAGGUAAGCGGAAUUCCUGGUGUAGCGGUGAAAUGCGUAGAUAUCAGGAGGAACACCAAUGGCGAAGGCAGCUCGCUGGGACGUGACUGACGCUGAGACGCGAAAGCGUGGGGAGCAAACAGG
rnacentral:rRNA from 1 species